rnacentral:misc_RNA from 1 species
AACGCACCUUGCACUCUUUGGUAUUCCGAAGAGUAUGUCUGUUUGAGUGUCAUGAAACUCUCAACUCCCCUAUUUUGUAAUGAGAUAGCGCGUGGGCUUGGAUUAUGGCUGUCUGUCGGCUCGUCACGAACCGGCUCAGCUGAAAUACACGAGCGACCCAAUUGGAUAGAGACGGCUUGACUCGGCGUAAUAGCAUAUUCGCUGAGGACGUCUAUUUCUGUGUGGUGCUUCUAAUUUGUUUAACUUUAAGCUUUAGACCUCAAAUCAGUCAGGACUACCCGCUGAACUUAA